CACCUAAAUUAGAAACGCUUUUUUUUUUUUCUCGCUUCGGGGUUUUCGCAUGAAGAAAUGCUUCGAUUCGACGACUGCUGUGGAGAUUCACGCACGAAACCAUUACAAUCGACUGGGCUUCUUCUUCUUCCUCGUGGUGACUUGAUAAGAUCUCUUCGGUUAAUUCAGGCACAAGACUAGUUCAAUCGGCUGGGAUUAUUCUCCGUCGUGAUUAUUUGGUAAUUAAGAUCUAGGGUUUGUUUGUUUUGAUUCGGCACGAAACUAUUUAAUCGGCGGCUUGGUUUCUUCUUCCUCCUCAUGGUCAGAUUUCUUCCUCUGAUCCUCGCUUCGUGUGUAAUUUUUUUUUUUUUUUGCAAAUUGAUUUGAUUCUCUACUACUACGGAGCUUAUUGAACUGUUUUUGAUUCAAAUGUUUUAUUCACUUAGUUAGUGAGAACUCUAUUCUUUAGCAGGGAUUAUUUUAUGGCUUUGUUUGCGUUUGUAUUUUACAGAGACGAACUUUUCCAUUGUGUAUGGUCAUGUAAUUCUGAUUAUAAAGAUGACACUAAAUCAGGUUCUUCGAAUCAUGAUACAAUGAUUUGUAAAUCAGGUUUUU